rnacentral:ncRNA from 1 species
AUUCAGGUACUACCUUUUGUAGAUUAAAAGGGAAUCUGGUGUAAAUCCAGAACUGUACCCGCAGCUGUAAGUUUCUUUAAUGCUGUAGCAAAAAAUCCACUGGCCAUUACUGCUGGGAAGGCGCUAUUAGUGAAACAAGUCAGAAUACCUGCCUGAACACAU